CUCGGAACAACAAGCACCAGAGGAUGAACAUGAGGGCCAGGCAAGAAGUCCAGCCAGACAUCCCACUGGUCCCCACUGCCUGGGCUGGUGGCCGAAGCUGCACCUGGCAGGUCAGGGAGUGGUCAAGAGCUGCCCCGGAUCCUCUCCAUGUAGUUACGAAGCUCCUCCGGGUCCUUCAGCCCCAUGUCCUCGCACACCCAGCGGAUGUCCUCCUCACCUGCCACCAGGAUGGACUGUACAGCUGGGGCCCCUACAGGCUCCUCGGGCGGCUGGGCUGGGGGUACUGGCGCAAAUGUCACAAACUCUACUCUCUUCCGACGUCCCCCAGCUUCUUUGCGGGCCAGGGUGCUCGAGGAGCCAACAGUGCCCUCUGAAGCACUGGGGGCCACAGUUGGGGCAUCCCCUCCUGCCCCACUUUCACACGGGCAGCCCCCCUCCCCCUUGGGUGGGCCCGGGGAGGAGCAACGGUCCAGCUGCCGACUCAGUUCCUCCUGAUUGGUGCCCAGCCAGACCCAGUUAUGGGGCUGGGGGGAGGAAGGGUCCGUAGCGCUGUCGGGAGGCUCUUUGCGCUGGUAGCGCAACACGAAGACCACACCAUUGACCAGAAAGAUGAGGAUGGCCAGACAGAAGAUACCCAGCAGGGCAUACAUUCCCAGCUCUAGGGGCCUGACCUGGGUACUCCAGCUGCCACGUGACAGGGCGAGUGACUGCCACACCCCCACCAGUGCUAUUCUCCACUGCGAAGUCCACCCACAGGAACUCGGACAGUUCAGGGGGGCUGCUGGCAGAAGAGAGAGGAGCCGAGUGUUUGCCAGCCACCGGUACCACCUGUGUUCAUAAGCAGCCUCUACAAUUAUCCCCAUUUGACUGAGAAGGGGACCAAGGCACAGAGGUCCCAGUGCUCACCGAAGAGUAAGAAGAUUGGCCGUGAAGUUGUGUCGAAGCAGGAGGGUGGCAGUGAAGAGCUGGCCGGGCCUCAUUGGCACAUCGGGUGCCCGCAAAGUGACUGCUUCAUCCAGAGGUACCUCCUGGUACUGUGGGGGGUCUGCAGGGUGCAGCUCCACACCACCCACCGGGAGAGCCUGCUCCCCAGGUUCUUCCUCUGCGCCAGGGCCACAGCCCCCAGGUCCCUCACCUGCAGGCUCCAGGGUAUAGGCCAGUUCAGCCCUUGUGGUGGCACUUUGGGAGAACCAGUGAGAGGGGAACUCCAAUUCCACCACACAGGCACCCAGGGAUGGCUGGAAACACAAGGAAGGUAAAGCCUGUGGUUGGCCCUGAGAAGGAUGCGAAGGAGUCUUACUCCCAUUGGCAGAAAAACCUAAACUGAAGAGGUCCAUGGAAGGCAGAACCAAGGACUUGUAGCAGAAUCGUAGGGACAAUCUUGAUCACAUCCCAGGACCUACCUAUAGCUCAGAAACAGCAAGAAACAGAUCCCUCCAGCGGGUCUUUGGGUCCAACCCCACAAUAGUAGAAAUAAAACUCACAAAAGUUCAAAUCUCUACACACAAAGGCUGAUAGCUCUGUUACAGUGUCUUA